rnacentral:rRNA from 1 species
UGCAGUCGAGCGGAAACGACUUAACUGAACCUUCGGGGGACGUUAAGGGCGUCGAGCGGCGGACGGGUGAGUAAUGCCUGGGAAUAUGCCUUAGUGUGGGGGAUAACUAUUGGAAACGAUAGCUAAUACCGCAUAAUGUCUUCGGACCAAAGAGGGGGACCUUCGGGCCUCUCGCGCUAAGAUUAGCCCAGGUGAGAUUAGCUAGUUGGUGAGGUAAGAGCUCACCAAGGCGACGAUCUCUAGCUGGUCUGAGAGGAUGAUCAGCCACACUGGAACUGAGACACGGUCCAGACUCCUACGGGAGGCAGCAGUGGGGAAUAUUGCACAAUGGGCGAAAGCCUGAUGCAGCCAUGCCGCGUGUAUGAAGAAGGCCUUCGGGUUGUAAAGUACUUUCAGUAGGGAGGAAGGUGUUGUAGUUAAUAGCUGCAGCAUUUGACGUUACCUACAGAAGAAGCACCGGCUAACUCCGUGCCAGCAGCCGCGGUAAUACGGAGGGUGCGAGCGUUGAUCGGAAUUACUGGGCGUAAAGCGCAUGCAGGUGGUUCAUUAAGUCAGAUGUGAAAGCCCGGGGCUCAACCUCGGAACCGCAUUUGAAACUGGUGAACUAGAGUGCUGUAGAGGGGGGUAGAAUUUCAGGUGUAGCGG